rfam:Gossypium hirsutum cultivar TM-1 chromosome 10, whole genome shotgun sequence
CGUUAAAAAUUCAUCAAUUUCUUCAGUUAAAAACUGGCAUGGUUGACAAAAUAAUCAGAUGGUUACAUGUGGCAUGCUACGUGUACCUUACGUUGACAUAUAGGGACUAGCUUUUAACAAUAAAAAUUGAUGGAAUUUUUAACA